rnacentral:rRNA from 1 species
GAUGAACGCUGGCGGCGUGCCUAAUACAUGCAAGUCGAGCGUACAGACGAGGAGCUUGCUCCUCUGACGUUAGCGGCGGACGGGUGAGUAACACGUGGAUAACCUACCUAUAAGACUGGGAUAACUUCGGGAAACCGGAGCUAAUACCGGAUAAUAUAUUGAACCGCAUGGUUCAAUAGUGAAAGACGGUUUUGCUGUCACUUAUAGAUGGAUCCGCGCCGCAUUAGCUAGUUGGUAAGGUAACGGCUUACCAAGGCAACGAUGCGUAGCCGACCUGAGAGGGUGAUCGGCCACACUGGAACUGAGACACGGUCCAGACUCCUACGGGAGGCAGCAGUAGGGAAUCUUCCGCAAAGGGCGAAAGCUUGACGGAGCAACGCCGCGUGAGUGAUGAAGGUCUUCGGAUCGUAAAACUCUGUUAUUAGGGAAGAACAAAUGUGUAAGUAACUAUGCACGUCUUGACGGUACCUAAUCAGAAAGCCACGGCUAACUACGUG